rnacentral:rRNA from 1 species
CCUACGGGUGGCAGCAGUGGGGAAUAUUUGGCAAUGGGCGCAAGCCUGACCCAGCAACGCCGCGUGAAGGAAGAAGGCUUUCGGGUUGUAAACUUCUUUUAUCAGGGACGAAUCAGGUGACGGUACCUGACUACUAAGCGACUGCUAACGACGUGCCAGCCGCGGCGGUACUACGGAGGUGGCAAUCGUUAUCCGGAUAUACUGGGUGUAAAGGGCGUGUAGGCGCGACUGCAAGUCAGAUGUGAAAACCAUGGUCUCAACUUGGGGCCUGCAUUUGAAACGGUAGUGCUGGAGUACUGGAGAGGUAGACGGAAUUCCUAGUGUAGCGGUGAAAUGCGUAGAUAUUAGGAGGAACACCAGUGGCGAAGGCGGUCUGCUGGACAGCAACUGACGCUGAGGCGCGAAAGCGUGGGGAGCAAACAGGAUUAGAUACCCCAGUAGUC